CUCGAACUUUCCCAUUUCAUGAGUGGGAUUGGCCAUACUCGAAGUGCGGGUUUCGAGUUUAGACUUUCCACCAACUUUUCGAAGUGCGGGUUUCGAGUUUAGACUUUCCACCAACUUUUCGAAGUGGGAUACUCCAAGUGCGGGUUUCUGUACAUUUCACCCGUUCUCUCUCUCAUCCUCUGCGACUAAGAGCUAGAGGAACCAGUGCGAGCAAGAGCAACCCCUGAGCGAGCCGCUCGAUUAGGUUUUCGAUGAUAUCUAAGGCUUGUUUGUGAUUGAACCACAACUAUUUUGCUUAGGUGAUAAGUUGAUACGAUAGAUAAAGGUUGUAGGUGAAAUGUCUUUCUCAUCUUCAAGUCUAAAGCCGUAAAUGUUUGG